UACGAAGGGUGCAAACGUUGCUCGGAAUCAUUGGGCGUAAAGCGCACGUAGGCGGCUUUCUAAGUCGGGGGUGAAAUCCUGGAGCUCAACUCCAGAACUGCCUUCGAUACUGGAAAGCUCGAGUCCGGGAGAGGUGAGUGGAACUGCGAGUGUAGAGGUGAAAUUCGUAGAUAUUCGCAAGAACACCAGUGGCGAAGGCGGCUCACUGGCCCGGUACUGACGCUGGGGUGCGAAAGCGUGGGGAGCAAACAGG
rnacentral:rRNA from 1 species